GCCGGCAAGCAGGUAGUGCUAUGUCACACACAUUCAGACUAACUUGACAGGCAAGCAGGUAGUGCUGUUCACACACACUCGGACUGACUGACAGGCCAGCAAGCAGGUAGUGCUAUGUCAUACACAUUCAGACUGACUUGACAGGCAAGCAGGUAGUGCUGUUCACACACACUCGGACUGACUGACAGGCCGGCAAGCAGGUAGUGCUGUUCACACACACUCGGACUGACUGACAGGCCGGCAAGCAGGUAGUGCUGUUCACACACACUUGGACUGACAGGCCAGUAUCCGGAAAGGAGGGUGCUGUGGGUCUGGGGAAUGACCCUGGUGAGCUCUGC
rnacentral:lncRNA from 1 species